AUUGAACGCUGGCGGCAGGCCUAACACAUGCAAGUCGGGCGGAGCGGCGGACGGGUGAGUAAUGCCUAGGAAUCUGCCUGGUCGUGGGGGAUAGCGUCCGGAAACGGGCGCUAAUACAUCAACCUAGAAGAGGCGCCUAGGUCGGAUUAGCUAGUUGGUGGGGUAAAGGCAUACUAAGGCGACGAUCCGUAACUGGUCUGAGAGGAUGAUCAGUCACACUGGAACUGAGACACGGUCCAGACUCCUACGGGAGGCAGCAGUGGGGAAUAUUGGACAAUGGGCGAAAGCCUGAUCCAGCCAUGCCGCGUGUGUGAAGAAGGUCUUCGGAUUGUAAAGCACUUUAAGUUGGGAGGCGUUACCAACAGAAUAAGCACCGGCUAACUUCGUGCCAGCAGCCGCGGUAAUAC
rnacentral:rRNA from 1 species